rnacentral:lncRNA from 10 species
AAAGAAAGCCGGGGCCAGAAAGAAACUCAGACAUCAUCUGGCUUACAUUUUAAUCUUGCAACUGAGAAAAGGUAGACUCUCAGCAGCUCCUGGCAAUAAACAACUCAGGCGCAACGGGAUGUUUCUUACAAGGAGCAGCCGUGCAGUGAUUGCUCCACUCUGAGGGUCUGACUCAGCCCUUCCUCAGCUUCUGGGCUUAUUUUAGCCCCACGUUUCUGGAGGAGGAAACGAGAACAUGAUCAAGGAUGCCGUGGGAAGAGCCUGGGGCCCUCCAGUUCUCUCGGGGAGCCUCGGGAAGCUCCUCGCAGUUUCAGCUACUGUAGAAAUUCACAGCCAAGGGCUCCUACAGAAUUGGGCUGUCAGCCUGGCCAGCCUGGGCGGGUGGGCCCCGCUGUAAGAAAGCCUGCCAUUUGGAAAUGAGAAUUAGAGCAAAAGGA